rnacentral:ncRNA from 2 species
UUUCGUUCGGUCAUCUUCGGUGCCCUUGUUCGGAAGGGUGAAACGGGAAUGCAGUGCGGCGAGCAAUCGCCAAAGCUGCGGCUGCCCCCGCAACUGUAAGCGGAUUGUCCGCGAUCACUAAGUCACUGAGGCGAGUUUCGGCCUUGGGAAGACGAUCGGGACCGUAUCCGUGAGCCAGGAGACCGGCCGAGGAUUUGUCGCAAUG